rnacentral:lncRNA from 1 species
CACAACUGAGGAUUGUCAAAAACCCUGUGGAUCUUGGUCUCUAUGGCCUCUCUCCAACACAGAUUACAGUCCAAGAAUUCCUCAUGAAUGCAAAACACAAGGAAUCCAGCAUUUGUAAUGAGCUCCUAUCUAGAGCAGCUCUGGAGUCAGUCGAGCUGAACACAGAAGAAACUGGCACAUGAUAUCCAGUAUCUACUUCAGACUUAGUGAAGAGUCCUUUCAUAUAUAUCGAUCUGUAGAGAAAUGAGUAAGGAUGGUCUGGCUUUAAAAGGAAAAAGAAGAGAGUGAGAUAUUCAUGAAAUAUAGGCUCCACCAGUGAUGUACCUAAUAAAAGCUGAGGCCUGACUGAUCCA